rfam:Danio rerio chromosome 25, GRCz11 reference primary assembly.
UCAACGGCUCUUUUAAGAGCCACCCAUAUCAUCAUAGAAAGAGUA